rnacentral:lncRNA from 1 species
AAUGAAUAAAAUAUCAGUAGCCUAAAUAUCAGUAAGCAUGCUUGUGAAUAGUGAAAAUCAACAAAAAGCAAUAAUGGCAUUACAAUUAAUAUAAGUGUCGAUAUGAUGGCGGUCAAAAAUUGUAUAUUAUUGUCAGUUAUUGGACACAUUAUUUGUGGUCUCGCUCGUGCUUGCAGUAUGGUGUGCUUUUUCACACAAUAAUUGAUUUCAUUAUUCUGUUAUCCCUUGUCCUAACAGUCACCACAAAUCUUUGUCACUUUCACUUGAUUUCAACACUUCCAACAAACAAGACACUUGCAGCUGAAACAGGUGUCCGGUUUCUGUUGGAUUGCAUCUGCCCACCCGUGUGCCAGACUCAUGAUGAAGUUUCUUCUGCUCAUGGGUGUUGUUCAUGCACUGCUUGAAAAACGCAUGCGUUGAUAGCAGCCAAGUCAAGCAUGUUGUAGAACACAGCAACAGGCCAGCCGGGAGUUCCUCAUUUCACCUAGCACAGCCAUUAUCCGACACUCGCUCACCUGCUGUCCGAUAUGGAUCCUUUCCCAGAUAUGAUCCUCUGGCCCGCCACAUGAAAUCAUCUUUGUUGAGUCAACCUGCCCUUGACCCUGUCCUUUCUCCGCACUGGAGAGAGACUGUAUUCUCAGCACCGCCUGGCAACUCAAAGUCAUCUGGACGCUCGUGACACGGUGCACGACACUGGUUGUUUAUAAAAGAGAUUGACAUAUAGAUUAUAUAUUUCCCUUUCGUUUGUCUUCUUUUCACUGAUAUUACAUAACUCAUAAUAGUCAAUGAACUGCACAUUCGUACGAACUAUUCAAAAGCUCUGUCAUUGCCAAUAUAUUGCCAAUAGUUUCUUGUGAAAAUACUGUAUCAAAGAAACAGCAGCCGAUAACAUCAACACAUCCUACAAAACCCCCCUGUAGUAAUAAUCAUCAGUCAAAUAAAAAACACAUUACAGCUGUGAAGUUUGCAUAUGUGGGAGAUAUUAUUGAAGUCUAGGCUGAGGGCUCUAGCGCUCCCUGAAAUGCCAUGGACAUUGUCCAGUGCAUAGCAUGAAAUGCAGAGAUAGCUUUUAGGCAUUUCUCUUUUAGCAUCAGUUUAAGAGCUGCAUCACUAGCUAAAUUGCCAGAGAAAAAAACUGCUGGCAGAAAGACACUUGAUCUCUGGCCACUCACAGUAUAAAUAAAAAAUCUAUAUUAGAACCCUGCAUUUCUGCUUGGGAGAGGC